AAAAGGGCAUUAACCUAAGCACUAACAAGUUAUACUCAAGGGUGCGUAGUUAGUUCCCUUUUUA
ensembl:miRNA